CCUCACUCCGAGGAAGCGGGAGGCGGAGGGAGUGGGGAGAGCCCCGCGUGGGUCGCGGUCCGGUGGACACCAUCCCGGCGGGGAGGAGCCUUCCCACGAGGACAGAUGGCGACACACAAGCUGCGUGGCUUCUGUUGUGACCCAGGCCGUGCAGUCACCAGAGGUGGGAUCCGGGCUCAGCUCGGCCGCGUCUGAACUUCUUGUCAUCUGGGAAACGGGGGGCAGAGAGACAUCCCAGGUUGAAAGCAAAACCUUCUUGCUGCAAGCCGUGUCAUGAAGAGAUGGGGUUUAGCGGUGCUGCCCAAGCUGGUCUUGAACUCCUGAGCUCAAGCAAUCCACCUGCCUCGGCCUCCCAAACUGCUGAGAUUACAAGCAUGAGCUACCGUGCCUAGGCGCCGCUAUCUUCUGAAAGAGCAGAAUGCAUUGUUUCCUCUCUAGGGUUUGCAGGUUUGAAAAGAUGGGGUUUUGCAUCAUGCACCUAACACUCUUCUUCCCAGAAGCUCUCUGCAGAACAAGGAAGUUUUAAGAAGACUAGGUGCCUUUAGCCUAUUUUCUGGAAUCUCAAACCUGGUAAUCCAUUAUUUAUUCAAUAAAUAUUGA